ACCGUUCGGUUGCUCGUAAUUCGUUCGUUUCGAGAUUAGGUGCGACCUCGAGGUCCGUCUUCUUCUAAGUCUUGAUCGAAGUGUGCGCGCGUGUCCGUUCCUCGAGACUGGUUAAAGUAUUAAGGAUUGUCGAAAGGAGACUUGAAUCCGUGUGGACUGUAUUUAAUCCAUUUAAACCAGGAGGGCAGAGAUGCAGUCUUACAGAGACUGCCGAGCAGAUUUCCCCCCGGUAAGAAGGAUUUAUGUGAUCGUUUGAGGCGGAUUUUUCUUAUCAGCGGAUGAUGCCUGCCGGUGCAAGGAGUGCGGACAUUAAGAAAGUUAGCAGCAGGCUGUACCUCCACGUCUCACGUCUUGAGCUGCGAGUCUUUGGGCGGGAGACAGAAGGAGACGGGACGAGAUAGGACGAUGGAGCGUGUCUGCGCGAGGGAGGAACCGGCAGCGGCGGAGGCAGAGGGAGAGAAACGGCGACACGGGGGGAGGAG